CAGUAGCCGCGGGAAAACGAAGGGUGCAAGCGUUACUCGGAAUUACUGGGCGUAAAGCGUGCGUAGGUGGUGGUUUAAGUCCGUUGUGAAAGCCCUGGGCUCAACCUGGGAAUUGCAGUGGAUACUGGGUCACUAGAGUGUGGUAGAGGAUAGUGGAAUUUCCGGUGUAGCAGUGAAAUGCGUAGAGAUCGGAAGGAACAUCUGUGGCGAAGGCGACUAUCUGGGCCAACACUGACACUGAGGCACGAAAGCGUGGGGAGCAAACAGGAUUAGAUACCCGAGUAGUCCCUGUCUCUUAUAA
rnacentral:rRNA from 1 species